rnacentral:tRNA from 1 species
CGGAAUGUAGCUUAAUUGGUAAAGCGCGCAGCCAGGAAUGGCAGCGGAUCCCGGUUCGAGGCCGGCCGUUCUGA